rfam:Gossypium arboreum cultivar AKA8401 contig_14202_1, whole genome shotgun sequence.
UGUAAAAAAUUAUCCGUUUGUACUGUUAAAAAAUGGUGUGAUUGAUGGAAUAACUAAACAGUAACAUGUGACAUGCCACAUAUACCUCAUGUUGAGGUACAAUGAUUAAUUUUUAACAGUAGAAAUAGAUGAAAUUUUUAACA